GCCGGCUUAGCUCAGUAGGCAGAGCAACUGAUUUGUAAUCAGUGGGUCACCAGUUCAAUUCCGGUAGCCGGCA
rnacentral:tRNA from 6 species